rnacentral:rRNA from 1 species
GGUUGACCUCGGAUCAGGUAGGAGUUACCCGCUGAACUUAAGCAUAUCAAUAAGCGGAGGAAAAGAAACCAACCGGGAUUGCCUCAGUAACGGCGAGUGAAGCGGCAAGAGCUCAAAUUUGAAAUCUGGCCCCCUCGGGGUCCGAGUUGUAAUUUGCAGAGGAUGCUUCGGGUGCGGUCCCCAUCUAAGUGCCCUGGAACGGGCCGUCAUAGAGGGUGAG